CCCGCUGAACUUAAGCAUAUCAAUAAGCGGAGGAAAAGAAACCAACAGGGAUUGCCUUAGUAACGGCGAGUGAAGCGGCAACAGCUCAAAUUUGAAAUCUGGCUUCUGCGAAGUCCGAGUUGUUAUUUGUUGAGGAUGUUUUGGUUCGGACUCUGGUUUCAGUUCCUUGGGACAGGGCGUUAUAGAGGGUGAGAACCCCGUAUGUGGGUGGAAGGUGGCACCCAUGUGAAAGUCCUUUGGCGAGUUGAGUUGUUUGGGAAUGCAACUUAUAAUGGGUGGUUAAUUUCAUUUAAAACUAAAUUCUGGCCAGAGGCCGAUAGCGCCCCAGUAGAGUGAUUGAAAGAUGAAAAGUCCUUUGGAAAGAGAGUUUAACAGUAUGUGAAAUUGUUGAAAGGGAAGGGCUUGCAGCCAGACUUGCUUGCAGCUGAUCAUCUGGUGUUCUCGGCCAGUGCACUCAGUUGUGAUCAGGCCAGCAUCAGUUUGGGCGGUUGGAUAAAGGCCUUGGGAAUGUAGCUUCUUUCGAGGAGUGUUAUAGCCCUUGGUGCAAUGCAGUCCAGCCUCGGGACUCAAGGCCCCCCCUCUGCUAGGAUGCUGGCGUAAUGGCUGUAAGCGACCCGUCUUGAAACACGG
rnacentral:rRNA from 1 species